UCUGUAUCGUUAUCACUAUCUUCUGUGGAAAAGUAUUCCUUCUCUUCUAAGUGCUGCUGAUGCCAGUUGUGUGGUUAUAAACCUGUGAUUACAACUCUCUGGAAGGCCAAAGCAGGAGGACUUCAAGUUUGAACCCACUCUGUGAUACAUGCAUGUGACCCAGGCGGCAGAGCUGCCAUUCCAUGCUGAAAGUUUAAGACAUUGAAGCCUGAUCCUGUCUGGCCUCGGGGAGUUUGCAGAUUUCUCCUGUGUAUUCAGCACCUGUGUAACACACAAAGUUUCUGAUGACAUUAACAGAAGAUCUACACUUAGUGUGUGCAAUACAGUCAGCAUGGCUUCUACCAUUCUCAGGGUGAAGAUCACACAACUGCACUCCUGGGGAGCACAUCUGAAAAGAAUUUUGAAAGAAGUGAAGGUUUCGUUUGGCAAAAAAUUGAGCAGGAAAUCUCUCGGGCUUCCUCUGAGGAGUCUCCUUGAAGGAAAUAUUUUUUUGGGUAUGUGUAUGUGUAUGUGACAUUUAGAAAUGAAAGUCAAACAUUAAACUUUUGGUAAGGUCAGUGUUUUUCUUUAUCUGGAUUAGUUCAUAUUCAGAACAUCUGAAGAACAGUACGGGCAUAAAGUAUAUUUUAGAGAAGAGUAAUUCUAGAAGGAUAUUUCCUUAAUUUUAAAGAAAGAUUCCUUUGGCGAUAUGUUAACUGAAGUUUUAAUUUAUUACUAAUGAUGAUGAUUACU